CAGUCGCCGCGGGAAUACGGAGGGUGCAAGCGUUAAUCGGAAUUACUGGGCGUAAAGCGCACGCAGGCGGUUUGUUAAGUCAGAUGUGAAAUCCCCGAGCUUAACUUGGGAACUGCAUUUGAAACUGGCAAGCUAGAGUCUUGUAGAGGGGGGUAGAAUUCCAGGUGUAGCGGUGAAAUGCGUAGAGAUCUGGAGGAAUACCGGUGGCGAAGGCGGCCCCCUGGACAAAGACUGACGCUCAGGUGCGAAAGCGUGGGGAGCGAACAGGAUUAGAUACCCCUGUAGUCCCUGUCUCUUAUAC
rnacentral:rRNA from 1 species